rnacentral:rRNA from 1 species
AAGUUAAGAAGGGCACACGGGGGAUGCCUUGGCUUCCGGAGGCGAAGAAGGACGUGGUAAGCUGCGAUAAGCCGCGGGGAGCUGCACGCGAGCGUAGAUCCGUGGAUUUCCGAAUGGGGUAACCCCUCCGAAUGAAUUCGGAGAUCUCCGUAUAGGAGAGGCGAACCCGGGGAACUGAAACAUCUAAGUACCCGGAGGAGGAGAAAACAACAGUGAUUCCCUUAGUAGUGGCGAGCGAACGGGGAGGAGCCCAAACCCAUGGUGUUUAGGCACUGUGGGGGUAGUAGGACCGACGAGAGGCAUGCACAUUCGAAGCCGAACAGUUUGGAAAGACUGGCCAUAGGAGGUGAAAGCCCUGUAGGCGUAAGGAUGUGAGAUGUCAGUUGGUAUCCUGAGUAGCGCGGGACACGAGGAAUCCCGUGUGAAUCAGCCGGGACCAUCCGGUAAGGCUAAAUACUCCCGGAAGACCGAUAGUGAACAAGUACCGUGAGGGAAAGGUGAAAAGAACCCUGAGUAAGGGGGUGAAAGAGAACCUGAAACCGUGUGCCUACAAGCGGUCGGAGCUACGUAAGUAGUGACGGCGUGCCUUUUGCAUAAUGAGCCUACGAGUUGCGCAUCACUGGCGAGGUUAAGGGCUUAAGGUCUGGAGCCGAAGCGAAAGCGAGUCUGAAGAGGGCGUAUAGUCAGUGGUGGCAGACGCGAAACCUAGUGAUCUACCCAUGGCCAGGCUGAAGCUUCGGUAACACGGAGUGGAGGGCCGAACCAGUGAGCGUUGAAAAGCUUUUGGAUGAGCUGUGGGUAGGGGUGAAAGGCUAAUCAAACUGGGAAAUAGCUCGUACUCCCCGAAAUGCAUUUAGGUGCAGCCUUGUGGUGGAGUAUGUCAGAGGUAGAGCCACUGAUAGGAUGCGGGGGUUUCACCGCCUACCAAAUCCUGACAAACUCCGAAUGCUGACAUAUAUACACAGGAGUGAGGGCCGGGGUGCUAAGGUCACGGUCCGAGAGGGAAAGAACCCAGAUCAACGGCUAAGGUCCCGGAGUUAUCGCUAAGUUGUUCAAACGAGGUCGAACUGCAUUGACAGCUAGGAUGUUGGCUUGGAAGCAGCCAUUCAUUUAAAGAGUGCGUAACAGCUCACUAGUCGAGCGGUUUGGCAUGGACAAUAAUCGGGCAUAAGCGAUACACCGAAGCCUUGAUGCUCGUAGGAGCAGGUAGGGGAGCAUUCUGUAGGCGUUGAAGGAUAGCUGAGAGGCUUACUGGAGCGUACAGAAGAGAAAAUGUAGGCAUAAGUAACGAUAAGGCGGGUGAGAAACCUGCCCACCGAAAGACUAAGGUUUCCCGGGCGAUGUUAAUCAACCCGGGGUAAGUCGGGAGCUAAGGCGAGGUCGUUGUAGAGACGGCGUAGCUGAUGCCAAAUCGGUUAAUAUUCCGAUACCUGCUUAUAAUGCGAAGCGGGGACGAAGCAGUGACACCUCCGCCCGGUGACGGAAAUCCGGGUUAAAGCUUGUAGGUAGAUUGGCAGUAGGCAAAUCCGCUGCUGAUGCCGAAGGUGAUAGUACUCAGAGUCUACGGACGAUGAGAUAGAGAGGGUAAUCAGACUUCCGAGAAAAGCCGCUAAGCUUCAGUUAUAAGCAGCCCGUACCGUAAACCGACACAGGUAGUCGAGGAGAGGAUCCUAAGGUGCUCGAGUGAGUCGUGGCUAAGGAACUAGGCAAAUUAACCCCGUAACUUCGGGAGAAGGGGUCCCUGCCGUAAGGUGGGGCGCAGAGAAAUGGCCCAGGCGACUGUUUAUCAAAAACACAGGACUCUGCGAAUUCGAAAGAAGAAGUAUAGGGUCUGACACCUGCCCGGUGCCGGAAGGUUAAGAGGAGGGGUUAGCCGAAGAGGCGAAGCUCUGAAUUGAAGCCCCGGUAAACGGCGGCCGUAACUAUAACGGUCCUAAGGUAGCGAAAUUCCUUGUCGGGUAAGUUCCGACCUGCACGAAUGGUGUAACGAUCUGGGCACUGUCUCAGCCACGAGCUCGGUGAAAUUGUAGUCUCGGUGAAGAUGCCGGGUACCCGCAAUGGGACGAAAAGACCCCGUGAACCUUCACUACAGCUUAGUAUUGACUUUGGACAACGGAUGUGUAGGAUAGGUGGGAGACUGAGAAGCUGAGGCGCCAGCCUUGGUGGAGUCGUCGUUGAAAUACCACCCUUUCGUUGUUUGAAGCCUAACCACUGGAGAAGUGGGACAGUGCUUGGCGGGUAGUUUGACUGGGGUGGUCGCCUCCAAAAGAGUAACGGAGGCUUCCAAAGGUGCCCUCAGCACGCUUGGCAACCGUGCGCAGAGUGCAAUGGCAUAAGGGCGCUUGACUGUGAGGCCGACAAGCCGAUCAGGUGGGAAACCAGGGCAUAGUGAUCCGGUGGCGCUGUAUGGGCAGGCCAUCGCUCAAAGGAUAAAAGGUACUCCGGGGAUAACAGGCUGAUCCUUCCCAAGAGCUCACAUCGACGGGGGGGUUUGGCACCUCGAUGUCGGCUCGUCACAUCCUGGGGCUGGAGAAGGUCCCAAGGGUUGGGCUGUUCGCCCAUUAAAGUGGCACGCGAGCUGGGUUCAGAACGUCGCGAGACAGUUCGGUCUCUAUCUAUUGCGGGCGUUAGAAAUUUGAGGGGAGCUGCCAUUAGUACGAGAGGACCGUGGCGGACGCACCUCUGGUGUACCUGUUGUGGCGCCAGCUGCACCGCAGGGUAGCCAUGUGCGGCAGUGAUAAGCGCUGAAAGCAUAUAAGCGCGAAACAUACCCCGAGAUGAGAUUUCUUUUAAGGGUCGUUCGAGAAGAGGACGUUGAUAGGCUGCAGGUGUACAGGCAGUAAUGUCAUAGCCGAGCAGUACUAAUUACCCGUAGACUUCCU